rnacentral:misc_RNA from 1 species
AGACCCGGGCCGCCGGCGUCCUGCCGAUCCGCGUCGACGUGCCGCGCGCCGGCGUCUCGCACCAGUUCAUCAAGCCGCUCGUCGUCGGCAGCGAAGCCACGGUGAAGUUGCGAUACAAGAGGAACUGAGGUUCGACGAGCGUUCGACGGGCGUUCUGCGGGCGUUCUACAAUGGUCGGAAUCAUGCAGUUCAAGAAAACGGCCAUUGUGAUCGCUCUUAGUGGAUUCGUCGGCGCCGGUGUCGCCGCUCAACGCGGCGGCGGGACCCGCAUCAACCCGGGACAGGAAUGCCCGCCCGGCACGACCGAAGUGCGCCCGGGCAGCUGCCAGGCGCCGUCCGAAGCGGCGCCGAGCAUUCUCGACUACCGGCCGAAGAGCACGCUCGUCACCGUCGAGCACAAAGUUCCAAAGG